GCUGCCGAGCCUCCUGCUUCCGGUGCUUUCCAAACAUUCUCGGUGAGCAGAAAGACUUUUGUCAUCGCUUAAGCAAUAAAAAUAAAAUGAAAUAAAUAAAAACAAAAUGGCAGGAUUCCCCUUCAGCCUUGUCAUUUUCUCUGAAAAGUUCCUUCGUGAGUCAGUUGAGUCUGGUUGGGUAAAGGUCUGUGAGGGUGUCCGUGAGCAGUAUGUCCAUGAAUCAGCCUCAUGCCUGACUUGUACUGCCUGUCUUUAUUUAAACCGGCUCUCCCUUGCCAUUCUGAAUGCUUCUGGCAGACACACACAUCUGGCCAUGACACAGACACUGGUAACUCACUGGUCUGCCUCACAAGAAUGUGUUUUAACUGAGAUGGACACGGAGUGUCAAGUGUUGCCUGUGGGCUGGAGAGUGGCUCUGUGCUACCUCAGAGCUGGAGACACCCAUCAAAUCCAGCGGGAGAUAAAGACGAAGGCGUAGCCCCACGGCUACCGCCUCCCCACCUGCUGAUCCUGGAGGCUCCAACGUUCCUGUCCAACCAAACAGGACCAGCCUCUUCCACACCCCACACCGAAGACUGGGCCAGUACAUCCAGUGGGUGUCCCUGGACCCACUGGACUCUCUUAGCAUCCUCUGGAGAGGCCUUGAGCUGAGGACUGAACCCCGGGGGCCUUGUGGUUGCUAGGCAAGCGCUCUACCACUGAGCUAAAUCCCCAACCCCUUGCUUAGGACUCUUGCCCUGGGUGCAUCAAGACACUCCACUCCCACCCCUUAUAUUCCUCCCACCCCCUCUCUAAUCAUCCCUUCUAAGUGCAGACCUAGUGACAUGUCCUAUUAGAGCCUAAAAUACUUUUAAUGGUGACAAUGUAACCGAUCUUUUGGAGAUAUUUCCUGCACUGUCACCUCUUUCUUUUAGGUGGCACCCACUGCUCAGUGUGGCUCAGCCCGUGCAUGCACGUGUUUUGGAAUUCACCCGGGUCCAGGGACCCCUGGAGAGAUGGCAGUAGCACCCUCGCUCUGCCUCGACCCAGCUGCCACCCAAACCUGGCAGUGUGCCGGGCGCAGGCGAGAUGAGGGUGCAGAGGUGCAAAGGGCCCACGCGUGAACCGAUCUUGCACCAGGUGUCGCCCCUCCCCCUGCCCCGCCUGGUCCCUGGGUGCGAAGUGUCAGGGUGCGAAGUGUCGCUCGCUCGCUACAUGGCUGCGUCCGUUCGCCACAGGAAGGAGGGAAGGAGGCCGGAGGUGCCUUCACGACACGCCGCGGCCCUGACAGAUCUGAUAAAGAGGAAGGAAGCCGGCGACGCUGCGGAUCUGAACUGACAACUCCCCAAACUGCCGGCGUCCUGCAGCUGGCCCCGCGCGGUUUGCAGAAGUGGCGCCUGAGAGAGGGUCGCCUGCGCCCUCUGCCGGCUGUGUGGAGAAAGCCUUCGCCCUUCUGGUGACAGCCAGGGCUUUAGGACUAGGGUCCAUCUGGCAAGUCUUGGGUGUGCACAACUUGCCUGGGCUUCUUUUUUUUUUGGGGGGGGGGUUCUUUUUUUUUCGGAGCUGGGGACCGAACCCAGGGCCUUGCGCUUCCUAGGUAAGCGCUCUACCACUGACCUAAAUCCCCAGCCCAUUGCCUGGGCUUCUUAACUUGUGCUUGUUGCCAGAGACGUGCCCCCAGAGAACAAACCCAGUGUCGGGCGCGCCCUAGCUGAGUCUCAGUUUACCUGAUAAUCUAAUUAGUUUGAUUGCCAACCUUAAUGAGAAAAGAAGGCACUCUUCCAAAGAUUACAGAUUUCAUACUGCUACAGUCCGUCAUUGGAGCUGUCAUUUCCUAGCUGUGUAACAAAUGUCUUAUACCCUGUGUUUCAGUCUCCGUAUCCAGAAAUGGGAGCGUCCUUUAUAAGGCCCUUAAAAGAGCUCUAAUGUGGUAAGGCACUUAGAAUAGUUGCUAACGUGUUUGUUAAAUGAAAGUGUUUAAACGUCGGUGUGUGGCCUCGAAGCCUGUCAGUGGUGGCUGAGAGGAGAUUUUCCUAAGGCCUGAAUUCCAGACCAGAGUACAUGCUCUGUUUUGCUAGACUCUGCUCCAUAAACUUUAACCCUUCCCUGAAGCUAUUGAAAAUAGUAUUUUGCAUAGAUCAGUUAGGUCUAUUUGGUUGCUGUUUAAAUUUGUUCUCUGGUUCUCUCCCCACCUC